UACAGAGGUCUCGAGCGUUAGGCGGAAUCACUGGGCUUAAAGCGUGUGUAGGUGGAUCGUUAAGUACCUUGUGAAAUCCCACGGCUCAACCGUGGAACUGCUGGGCAUACUGCGGGUCUUGGGCCAACUAGGGGCAGCCGGAACAAGCGGUGGAGCGGUGAAAUGCGUAGAUAUCGCGUGGAACGCCGAAGGUGAAAACAGGCUGCUGGGGUUGCGCCGACGCUGAGACACGAAAGCCAGGGGAGCAAACGGG
rnacentral:rRNA from 1 species